CGGGAUAUUUCUCUGAGAAAAGGGAGCAGGAUACAUGCUUUACUAUCCAUCACAGGCCUUUGGCAGUGAGAUAACCAGCCUCUUACUGUGAACACGUUAUUCUUUUUCCUAACGGUGAAGCAGGAUGAAAAGAGAUCAGAUCUAAGCAGAUCCAGCCAAGAGAGGAGGAGGAGGAGGCAAAGGACGGUAGUUCUGUGCGUCGAGGCUGCUUGGGGGGCAGGAGAUCACCUGUUUCAUGUGAUCUGGGAGAGCUGGAGUUGGCCAUCGGACACCCAGCAGGGCGGUAACCCUGUGGGGACAGCAGAAGCCACAUGCCAGGCUCCUUGGGGUGGUCCCCAGGGCCACCUCUCCUUCCCUGUGGAUCACCCCAGGCUCAGCUCCUCCACCUCACUGGUGUGGACGUAGCCCCAAAGGCUCACUGUGCCCUUACAGAGAGGGCAAAGGGCCGGAUGUGCUGCUGUGGUGCGUGUUUGCAUCAACCAAGCUGUUGUGUAUUCAGAGUCAUAUCGGUCUGCCUGAAUGACAGAAAUGAAGCAUUUGCUGCUUUCUACUUCAUUUAAACCUGAGGGAGCCUGUAGCGCUCAUCCUCCUCAUGCACCGAGGUAUCCACAUGUGCCGCUUGCCAAUCGGGGACUUCUUCACCAAGUAAUGUCUAAGCAAAUCUCUUAAUAACAGAGGGACUACACACAGAUUAUUGUGAUCAUAAUUUGGCCGACAUAGCCUUUAUUACAAAUGGUGAUGCUGGAGAUGGAAAACCCAGCUUGAUUCUCAGAUCCCUGCUGGAAAGUAAUAAAAUAAAGAGGAACAAAAUCUGUGAGUGUAUUUGCUACCAGACCUUUGAAAAACACAAAAGUGGAACCCUGCCAAUGCUAUUGCUGGCAAUUUUUCAGAGCGGAGCCUCACUCCAAGUGACAUUUAGGAGUGCCACCCAGACUUCAAGAUUCCAUCAUACAAAAGUCUGUAAAAAUACAGAAUGUCAAUAUUUUUAUUACAAUAAUGCCCUGACACUAAUGGUUGUAUAAGUCAGGACAGAGAGAGGAAAAAAAAUCUGUUGAUCUGUUCAUCAUUUUUUUGUUUCAUCUUUGUUCAUCAUGGCAGGGAAUCUGUCAAAUG